rnacentral:rRNA from 1 species
CACGAACGCUGGCGGCGUGCCUAAUACAUGCAAGUCGAGCGCAGGAAACUGACGGAACUCUUCGGAGGGAAGGCAGCGGAAUGAGCGGCGGACGGGUGAGUAACACGUAAGGAACCUGCCUCAAGGAUUGGGAUAACUCCGAGAAAUCGGGGCUAAUACCGGAUAGUUCAACGGACCGCAUGGUCCGCUGAUGAAAGGCGCUUCGGCGUCACCUUGAGAUGGCCUUGCGGUGCAUUAGCUAGUUGGUGGGGUAACGGCCCACCAAGGCGACGAUGCAUAGCCGACCGGAGAGGGUGAUCGGCCACACUGGGACUGAGACACGGCCCAGACUCCUACGGGAGGCAGCAGUAGGGAAUCUUCCACAAUGGACGAAAGUCUGAUGGAGCAACGCCGCGUGAGUGAUGAAGGUUUUCGGAUCGUAAAACUCUGUUGUAAGGGAAGAACACGUACGAGAGGGAAUGCUCGUACCUUGACGGUACCUUACGAGAAAGCCACGGCUAACUACGUGCCAGCCGCCGCAGUAACAC